rnacentral:lncRNA from 1 species
AAGAAAAUUAAGGGGAAAUAGGGUAUGAAAUGCAAAUAUGGGAAGUUUGGUGUGUAGGGAGUACAAUUUCUCAUUUAUUUAAUAUUUAAAUUCACAGUUUCAACAAUAAUAAGAUAUGUUUUUAAAAAAUAUUUUUUUAUAAUAUCUAUACAAUAUCUUAAAUUUUGAAAUGUUUGAAAAAAACAGGCGACAUGUCUCCUUGUCUUCAUUCCGUGAUUUUUUUUUAAUCUGGUUUUGCAAACCAUUUUUCUCUAGCUUGAUAGUUUAUUUUUUCCGUGAUUUUUUUCAAUCUGUUUUUGUGUUCUAAACAUUUGUCUACGGAUUUGGUUUUGAUUUUCUAGGUUUUGGUAAUUUUUUUUAUUUUGAUUUUGUAAUAAAUUUGGUUAUUUUCACUUUUCACCAAACUAACACUUUCUUUCACCACCACUCUGUAAUGCACACCGGUGAGAAAUAGAGAUUCCAAAUAAAAACACUCUAAGAAAAAACUCGCAAGAAGUUGAUAAUGUUCGAAGCUCUGUAAUGCACACUUUUCACCUUUGUUUCAAUACCUGAUAAUGUUCGAAGCUCAUUAUUGCAUACCAACAAAAUAUCAUUCAACACACAAAGAAGGAAAAUCAUGUGAGUUUUUUUUUUUAAUUGCACACGCUUGAUAAAUUUUAAUGCAUGAAAGAGAUAGAGAGCUAACAUGCCACAAUGCUUUUGAAAUAAAAUUCUGGAAAAGAACGGGACUCGGGUUCGAACUGAGGUAGUGUGUGUGUGUUUAAGUUACAAAGAAAAAAAAUCUGGAAAAGAAGAAAAACUUUGCAAAGAGAGAGAGCUAAGGUUCUAAUAAUAUUAUUAUUAUUAAUUUGAAAUUUAUAUUUUAAUUAUUGAAAUAUAAUAAUCUGGAUGAAAAUGUCUUUUCACAUUUUAAAAAGUGUAGUUUUCAAAAACAAAAAAAUGUAUUUUUUGUUACAAAGUCAAGAACUUGCGUAUACAAGUUAAUGUGGAGCCCAUCAUCAUAAAUUCUUACAGUAUUAUUUGUCUGAUUCUUCUUCUAUAUAAAGC